rnacentral:rRNA from 1 species
GCGGCCUAUCAGCUUGUUGGUGAGGUAAUGGCUCACCAAGGCGACGACGGGUAUCCGGCCUGAGAGGGCGACCGGCCACACUGGGACUGAGACACGGCCCAGACUCCUACGGGAGGCAGCAGUGGGGAAUAUUGGGCAAUGGAGGAAACUCUGACCCAGCGACGCCGCGUGAGGGAUGAAGGCCUUCGGGUUGUAAACCUCUUUCAGUAGGGAAGAAGCGAAAGUGACGGUACCUACAGAAGAAGCACCGGCUAACUAUGUGCCAGCAGCCGCGGUAAUACAUAGGGUGCAAGCGUUGUCCGGAAUUAUUGGGCGUAAAGAGCUCGUAGGUGGUUCGAUACGUCGGAUGUGAAAAUCAGGGGCUCAACCCCUGACCUGCAUCCGAUACGGUCGAGCUGGAGUUUGGUAGGGGAGACUGGAAUUCCU